rnacentral:rRNA from 1 species
GACGAACCUUGCUAACGUUAUUCGGAAUCACUGGGCGUAAAGGGUGCGUAGGCGGGUCUUUAAGUCAGGGGUGAAAUCCUGGAGCUCAACUCCAGAACUGCCUUUGAUACUGAGGAUCUUGAGUUCGGGAGAGGUGAGUGGAACUGCGAGUGUAGAGGUGAAAUUCGUAGAUAUUCGCAAGGACACCAGUGGCGAAGGCGGCUCACUGGCCCGAUACUGACGCUGAGGCACGAAAGCGUGGGGAGCAAACAGG